AGGAAAAUCUCCUGGAGAUCUUGUUGAAAUGCAGAUUCUGAUUCAGUAGGUCUGGGCUGGGGCCUGAGAUUCUGCAUUGAAAAUUUAAAAAACAAUUUUUUUUUUUAGUUGUGGAGAUUCUGCAUUUUUAGCAGGCUCUCAGGUGAUGUUGAU
rnacentral:pre_miRNA from 1 species